rnacentral:rRNA from 1 species
AGAGUUUGAUCCUGGCUCAGGAUGCAUGCUAGCGACAGGCUUAACACAUGCAAGUCGAGGGGCAGCGGGGGAGUAGCAAUACUCCCGCCGGCGACCGGCGCACGGGUGAGUAACACGUAUGAAACCUGCCCGUAGCAGGGGGAUAAGCGGAAGAAAUUCCGUCUAAUACCGCGUAACAACCCUUGGAGGCAUCUCCUCGGGUUUAAAGGGAGCGAUUCCGGCUACGGAUGGUCAUGCGUCGCAUUAGCUUGUUGGCGGGGUAACGGCCCACCAAGGCGACGAUGCGUAGGGGUUCUGAGAGGAAGGUCCCCCACACUGGUACUGAGACACAGACCAGACUCCUACGGGAGGCAGCAGUGAGGAAUAUUGGUCAAUGGCCGCAGGGCUGAACCAGCCAAGUCGCGUGAGGGAUGACGGUCCUAUGGAUUGUAAACCUCUUUUGUCAGGGAGCAAAGGGCGUCACGUGUGGCGUUUUGCGAGUACCUGAAGAAAAAGCAUCGGCUAACUCCGUGCCAGCAGCCGCGGUAAUACGGAGGAUGCGAGCGUUAUCCGGAUUUAUUGGGUUUAAAGGGUGCGCAGGCGGAAUGUCAAGUCAGCGGUAAAAUUUCGGGGCUCAACCCCGUCGUGCCGUUGAAACUGGCGUUCUUGAGUGAGCGAGAAGUAUGCGGAAUGCGUGGUGUAGCGGUGAAAUGCAUAGAUAUCACGCAGAACUCCGAUUGCGAAGGCAGCAUACCGGCGCUCAACUGACGCUCAUGCACGAAAGCGUGGGUAUCGAACAGGAUUAGAUACCCUGGUAGUCCACGCAGUAAACGAUGAAUACUAACUGUCCGGGCAGAAUGAUGUCUGGGUGGUACAGCGAAAGCGUUAAGUAUUCCACCUGGGGAGUACGCCGGCAACGGUGAAACUCAAAGGAAUUGACGGGGGCCCGCACAAGCGGAGGAACAUGUGGUUUAAUUCGAUGAUACGCGAGGAACCUUACCCGGGCUCAAACGACGGAUGGAUGUUUCUGAAAGGAGGCAGUCCUACGGGACAUCCGUCGAGGUGCUGCAUGGUUGUUGUCAGCUCGUGCCGUGAGGUGUCGGCUUAAGUGCCAUAACGAGCGCAACCCCCAUCGCCAGUUACCAGCAAGUAAAGUUGGGGACUCUGGCGAGACUGCCGGCGCAAGCUGUGAGGAAGGCGGGGAUGACGUCAAAUCAGCACGGCCCUUACGUCCGGGGCGACACACGUGUUACAAUGGCAGGUACAGAGAGAUGCGAUGUGGCGACGCAGAGCGGAACUUCAAAGCCUGUCUCAGUUCGGAUUGGAGUCUGCAACCCGACUCCAUGAAGCUGGAUUCGCUAGUAAUCGCGCAUCAGCCACGGCGCGGUGAAUACGUUCCCGGGCCUUGCACUCACAGCCCGUCAAG